CCUACGGGAGGCAGCAGUGGGGAAUUUUGGACAAUGGGCGCAAGCCUGAUCCAGCAAUGCCGCGUGAGUGAAGAAGGCCUUCGGGUUGUAAAGCUCUUUUGUCAGGGAAGAAACGGCCGAGGCUAAUACCUUUGGCUAAUGACGGUACCUGAAGAAUAAGCACCGGCUAACUACGUGCCAGCAGCCGCGGUAAUACGUAGGGUGCAAGCGUUAAUCGGAAUUACUGGGCGUAAAGCGUGCGCAGGCGGUUUUGUAAGUCUGACGUGAAAUCCCCGGGCUCAACCUGGGAAUUGCGUUGGAGACUGCAAGGCUGGAGUCUGGCAGAGGGGGGUAGAAUUCCACGUGUAGCAGUGAAAUGCGUAGAGAUGUGGAGGAACACCGAUGGCGAAGGCAGCCCCCUGGGUCAAGACUGACGCUCAUGCACGAAAGCGUGGGGAGCAAACAGGAUUAGAUACCCUGGUAGUCCACGCCCUAAACCGAUGUCUACUAGUUGUCGGGUCUUAAUUGACUUGGUAACGCAGCUAACGCGUGAAGUAGACCGCCUGGGGAGUACGGUCGCAAGAUUAAAACCGUCAAAGGAAUUGACGG
rnacentral:rRNA from 1 species